AUAAGAUUAAAAACAAAGAAAUGGGAUUAACAAUAAAUAACCAUCAUUAAGUAAAAUUAAUGAGGGGUUAAUAAAUGAAAAUCAAGAACAUGUUUGGGCUAUGGAUUUUGUUAACGUGAACUAGGGUGGUGAGAAGGCUCUUGGGCCAGAAGCCCAAUUCCAACAAGACUCCAAGAACGGGUUUAGUACCACUUUCCCAUCGUUCGAAAAAUCUCAUGUCUAAAUGAUCCCAGGUUAGCGCGUGAAGGCUCCUUCGCAGCACCAUCACUCUCACUUCGUGGCACGAGUACUCAGGUUCCCAAUGCUUCGAUUCCGUGCGAACGAUCCAAGAAUGUCAACGAAAAAUCAAGAACAAACUUCCUCCUACACAAAGAAUCAAGAAAACACCACUGAAUCCGCGCUUAACCUCACCACUAAAUCGAAUUUGAAAUCAAGAUUGCGCACGAGUGAAAGAGAUUGAAGAGAUAAGAGUAACAUACCAGAUUCACAUUCCAAAACGGUGGCUCAAGUGAUACUCUUCAAUCGCGAUGCACUGUUGUGGUUGUUCAAUUCCAGGUCGUUGCUUCGUGGUUGAUGAAGAUGAACGUUGCUCCGCGUUCGUGCUAUGCCGAUUUGUCGUUGAUGGUGAAGAGUGAAGCUUGGUUUGUGUGUAUUGUUGAUGAAGAUUGAGGAUGUUGUAUCAUUGAGGAAUGAAGAGGUUUAGGUUUGACAAAGAAGAAUCCCCUUUUCGUUUCCUAUUUUAGGUGAAGAUGAACUGAGGGCUUCUUUGUGGGUUCUUGAAGCUCGUUCUAUUAGCGUUAGCAAAAAAAGGAGGAUCAAGUGAGGGCUCUGUUAUGUGGUUUUAGCCAGAAGAAUGAUUCUGUUGCAAGGUUGUUGAAUUUCGGUCCUCCGUUAUGCUUAUGUUUGUUAGAGUUGGAGAGUGAAGUUGGUUGGUAGGUUGUUUUGAAGAAUGAGGAGAAGAAGAUAGUUGAAUUUGUGAAUAUGAUGGAGUGUGAAGUGAGGGUUAGAAGUUGGUUGUGAUGGUGAAGAUGAUGAAUGAGUGAUGGAAAGAUUGUGAAGUGGAGGGUUCGAAGAAAGUGGAGAGUGAUUUCGUUCCCCUUUUAUUGAAGAAGGUCGAAGAAGUUGUUAUAGGGUGGAGAAGAUGGAUCCUUCAAGUUGAAAUGCGAAUGGGGGCUUUUUAUGUGGUGAACUCCUUUUGCCGGUUUUCGGAUGUCGCUCCCCCCAAAAUUGUAGGUUCUGUUCUAGCCUUUUUCUUUGUGAUUGAAGUUGGUUUUUCCAUUUGUGGGGAGGUUCUAAUUCAGUUAUUCGGUUAGUGGUUUUUUAUUUUUCCAUUGGAGUUUCGGUUUAGUUGGAGGUUAUGGCAGUUGGUUAGGGAGGUUAGAGAGUUUGUUAUAGAAUUGGUUGGUUUGUUAAUUGUCUAGAAGUUCGGUUAUAUCCUGUUAAGUUUGUUGUGGAAGUUUUUGUUGGUUAGCGGCUAUAUUACAAUUGUCGGUUGGUUACAGAUUGCUGGUUCUAUUGGCUCCUUCCAUUCUCUUUUUCGGUUGAAGGUCGUUGGAGGUUACAAGGUUGUUGGAGAAUCGCGGUUGGGGGUGGAUUAGUUAGAGGUUGGCUGGGAGGUUUAGAGUUGUAUUCUGCUGACUGUUAUAAUGCUGAUUUUUGAGUUUCACUUGUGUAGGUUAUAUUAUGCUGUUAUGGAGUUGAAUUUGGUUCGGAUUUGGCAUUCGUAUCGGACUUGCAUUUUCCUGCGUUUUGUUACAAUUACAUGGUGAAUGAAAGAAAAAAUGAAGAAGAAACUGAAAUUGCUUCUGCUGUUUCAUGGUUUUGUUAAAAGUGAAUUAGUUUUGGUUAUGUUAAUCUUACUAGGAUUCGAACCAUUAGUGAUUAGCUUAGUGUUAACGGAAUGAUCUAUUGUGAUGAAAAUUUAGCAUGAUUUGUUAUGUUAAUUGUUGAUAGAUGGUUUGUUUUCAGGCAACAUCUUCAAUGUGAUUCCCAUAGCUAUGCGUCCUAGUCCACUUCCAUGUUGUUCUGUUAAUGGUUUUGUAAAUAUCAAAUAUGACAGUAGCAAUGUCACUGCCUCUCUAGUUGUUGUUA